rnacentral:tRNA from 1 species
GAGAAGAGUUAAAGAAACAAAAGAAACUGCUAAUAUCUAAACCUGUGGUUAAACCCCGCAGUCUACUCA